UCCAAUACUAUACACCAUAUGAUUUUACAGCAUGCCUAUUCCACUUGUUCAGCAUUGAAAUUACAUUCUAGAGUAUAACUGUAAGCCUUUUGUUUUACAGGCAGACAUAUGGUUAUGACACAUUUUAACUCCAAGACUUUACAAUAUUCAAGUGAAACAUAAAUAAUAAAACAUUAAAUGUAAUUUUUGAAUAAAACUACUUUGCAAAAU